rnacentral:rRNA from 1 species
GAUUAACGCUGGCAGAAUGCCUAACACAUGCAAGUCGAACGAACUUUGCUGAUUGAUGAUGGAGAGCUUGCUCAAAGUCUGAUUGAAGCGCUAGUUAGUGGCGAACGGGCGAGUAACGCGUAUUCAAUCUACCUCCGAGUUGAGGAAAACUAUAGAGAUAUAGCUAAUCCUCAAUGGUCUCAUCAAAAUGAAAAUAUGAUGAGUAAAGGCUUGCCGCUUGGAGAAGAGGAUGCGUCCUAUCAGGUAGUUGGCGGGAUAAUAGCCCACCAAGCCUAUGACGGGUAACCGGUCUGAGAGGACGGACGGUCGCAAUGGGACUGAGACACGGCCCAUACCCCUACGGGGGGCAGCAGUGGGGAAUCUUGGACAAUGGACGAAAGUCUGAUCCAGCAAUUCUGCGUGCGGGAUGAAGGUCUAUGGAUCGUAAACCGCUUUUCUGAAGGAAGACGAAUGACGGUACUUCAGGAAUAAGCGACGGCUAACUUCGUG